rnacentral:rRNA from 1 species
CCUACGGGAGGCAGCAGUGGGGAAUAUUGGGCAAUGGGCGCAAGCCUGACCCAGCAACGCCGCGUGAAGGAAGAAGGCCCUCGGGUUGUAAACUUCUGUUCUAGAGGACGAAGAAGGGACGGGACGAUAGGAAGAAGACACGGCUAACUACGUGCCAGCAGCCGCGGUAAUACGUAGGUGGCGAGCGUUAUCCGGAUUUACUGGGUGGAAAGGGCGUGGAGGCGGGAGAGCAAGUCAGAUGUGAAAACUACAGGCUUAACCUGGAGCCUGCAUUUGAAACUGUUCUUCUUGAGUGCUGGAGAGGCUGGCGGAAUUCCUUGUGUAGCGGUGAAAUGCGUAGAUAUUAGGAGGAACACCAGUGGCGACGGCGGCCUGCUGGACAUUAACUGACGCUGAGGCGCGAAAGCGUGGGGAGCAAACAGGAUUAGAUACCCUAGUAGUC